CGCAAAGAUUGGUUAUCUAUAUUGAUGGUUGUUACUUCUGCUCGUUCUUCUAUAAACAUCCGACAUUUGGAAAAGGCUACAGUGUCUACUGGAAAGGAAGGGCUAUUAUCGGAAGGAAAUUCUGCAUACAACUGGUCCAGGUGUGUUGAUGAGCUUGAAUACCUGUUAUCUAAACAUGGGAGUCUAAAGAAGCUUUACUUCUAUCACCAACACCUUACAACAGUUUUCCGUAAUACUAUGUUUGGUCCAGAAGGUCGUCCACAACAUUGCUGUGCAUGGCUUGGUGUCGCCAGUAGUUUUCCUGAAUGCGCUUCUUCAAUAGUCCCCGAAGAGGUAACUAAAAUUGGUCGUGAUGCGGUUCUUUAUGUUGAAUCCCUGAUUGAAUCUAUCAUGGGAGGUCUGGAAGGGUUGAUAAAUAUUCUCGACUCGGAAGGGGGAUUUGGCUCUUUAGAGUUGCAGCUUUUUCCAG
rnacentral:misc_RNA from 1 species